rnacentral:rRNA from 2 species
AGUGAAGCGGGAUGAGCUCAAAUUUAAAAUCUGGCUGGUUUACUAGUCCGAAUUGUAGUUUAUAGAAGCGUUUUCGGUGGCAGCCUGGGUAUAAAUCCUUUGGAAUAGGGUAUCAUAGAGGGUGAGAAUCCCGUCUUUGACUCAGUGCAUGCUACUAUGUGAUACGUUUUCAAAGAGUCGAGUUGUUUGGGAAUGCAGCUCAAAAUGGGUGGUAAAUUUCAUCUAAAGCUAAAUAUUGGCGAGAGACCGAUAGCGAACAAGUACCGUGAGGGAAAGAUGAAAAGAACUUUGAAAAGAGAGUUAAACAGUGCGUGAAAUUGUUGAAAGGGAAACGUUUGACACCAGUCAUGCGGAUGGAAAAUCAGUCUUUUGCAGUGGGGAGUUGUGGGCGUUCUGACCGUAAGGCUGGCGCUUGCUCUAUCUUUGCUGUAAGUGAUGCACUUUUUCAUUUGCAGGUCAACAUCAGUUUGCUUUGCUGGACAAAACCCCAAGAGAAGGUGGCAGCUUAGGCUGUGUUAUAGCUCUGGGGCGAUACAGUGAAGUGGACUGAGGUUUUCGCAGCGUGUGCUCUCGGGCAAGGCUGAUUGGGUGCUAUGGGAUCGUUCGGCGUACAAUGCAUGCAUUUUGCGUCGUGUCUUUUUCAUACUCGCUCAACUCGGCUCUUCCACGCUUAGGAUGUUGACUUAAUGGUUUUAAACGACC